GACGAACGCUGGCGGCGUGCUUAACACAUGCAAGUCGAACGGUGAAGCGCCUUCCUUUUUGGUGGGUGUGGAUGAGUGGCGAACGGGUGAGUAACACGUUAGUAACCUGCCCCCUUCUUCUGGAUAACCGCAUGAAAGUGUGGCUAAUACGGGAUAUUCUGGGUCUGUCGCAUGAUGGGUCUGGGAAAGAUAUUGUUUCGGUGGGGGAUGGGCUCGCGGCCUAUCAGCUUGUUGGUGGGGUGAUGGCCUACCAAGGCGGUGACGGGUAGCCGGCCUGAGAGGGUGGACGGUCACACUGGGACUGAGACACGGCCCAGACUCCUACGGGAGGCAGCAGUGGGGAAUAUUGCACAACGGGCGCAAGCCUGAUGCAGCGACGCCGCGGGAGGGAUGGAGGCCUUCGGGUUGUGAACCUCUUUCGCCAGUGAAGCAGGGCUGCCUCGUUUGUGGGUGGGUUGACGGUAGCUGGAUAAGAAGCGCCGGCUAACUACGUG
rnacentral:rRNA from 1 species